rnacentral:rRNA from 1 species
CUACGGGGCGCAGCAGUGGGGAAUAUUGCACAAUGGAGGAAACUCUGAUGCAGCAACGCCGCGUGGAGGAUGACACUUUUCGGAGCGUAAACUCCUUUUAUAUAGGAAGAAGAUGACGGUACUAUAUGAAUAAGCGCCGGCUAACUCCGUGCCAGCAGCCGCGGUAAUACGGAGGGCGCAAGCGUUACUCGGAAUCACUGGGCGUAAAGAGCGUGUAGGCGGAUUAAAAAGUCAGAAGUGAAAUCCUAUAGCUUAACUAUAGAACUGCUUCUGAAACUCUUAAUCUAGAAUAUGGGAGAUGUAGAUGGAAUUUCUGGUGUAGGGGUAAAAUCCGUAGAGAUCAGAAGGAAUACCGAUUGCGAAGGCGAUCUACUAGAACAAUAUUGACGCUGAGACGCGAAAGCGUGGGGAGCAAACAGGAUUAGAUACCCCUGUAGUC